AUACACCGACAACUACCCUCUCUAUCACUCUUACCUGCCCAGAGAGUCCUUCAAGCCCAAGUUGGAGUACCAGAAGGGGUCCAUCCCAAUGGAAGGCCUGACCACAUCGAGGAAAGACUUUAGGCUUCACAAAGUGUUACCAGUGAAGAGCUACCAGCCUGACCAAUUCGUCCCAAGUGAAGAGAAUAUGGACCUGCUCACAACGUAUAAGCAAGAUUACAACCCCUAUUCUGUCUGUCGAGUGGACCCCAUCAAACCACGGGACAGUAAACAUCCAUGUGGUGACCAGAUGGAGUGUCUGCCUACUUAUAAAGCUGAUUAUUUACCCUGGAACCAACCAAAACGAGAGUUACUUCGUCCGGAACGCAACUACCGGCCAGCAUCAACCAGGUUUGAUAGCACAACCACACACCAGGAUGAUUACUCCUUGAAGGGCCUAGUGAACACCAUGAGCUGUAAGCCUCCGGCCAGGCCCAAGCUCUAUAACAUCCCCCUGGAGGAUCUGACCAACUACAAGAUGAGCUACGUGGCCCACCCUUUGGAGAAGCGCUUUGUGCAUGAGAUGGCGAAGUUUAGACCCUGUGAAAUCCCCUUUGACAGCCUCACCACCCACAAACAGUCCUACAGAGGUCUGAUGGGGGAGCCAGCCAAGAGCUUGAAACCUCCAGCUGGGCCCUGUGGGCUAGACACACCUUUCUCUAACACCACUGAGUUUCGAGAUAAGUACCAAGCUUGGCCAACGCCCCAGAUGUUCUCCAAAGCUCCUGUCCCCUAUGUCCCUCCUGAAGAAAAGAUGGACUUUCUGACAACCGUGCAGGCCCAUUACACAUACCCUAAGGGUGCCCCAGCUCAGUCCUGUCGACCUGUGCUCUGUGUCAAGAAGGGCGGUCACUUCGAAAGUUCCACUACCACCAAGGACGACUACAAGCAGCGGGCCAGCAUGCGCAUGGAGCCAGUCAAGCCCAUUCAUCAGCUGAACCUUCCCCCCGAGCCCUUGGACUGCUUGACCACCAUGCGGGCCCACUAUGUGCCCCACCCACCCAUCAGUACCAAAAGCUGUGAGGAGGAGGAGGAUGGUGAUGAUGAUGAAGAUGGUUGCUGAGUUCUGCCUGGUUGAGUCUACUUAAGAUUUUCUCGGUCGCUAUUUGCAAGCAUGCAGGAAGUUACAUGGGUCGCAAGGAGGGAAAGAGAAGCUGAGGGAGGGCCUGUGCAGGCGAAGAAAUUCAGUUUAGGAGUGAAUGAUCCAUGGACCUGGCACCCACCUGUGGCACUGUGACAUGCUGAGCUCCAGCUAUGGGACAGAGCUACCUGGGUGACUCAACAACUUCAUCCUUCAGUUGACCAGAGCUAAGUCAUUUCCUGGCCCUUUCACUGUUAUUUAAAACAAUGAUGGUGGGGCUUGGCGGGGGGAAGAAAACCAAGACAAUGACACACUUCAUUGCUACACUUCUUGCCUUGACUGUUAAACAUUUCCUAGAGUUGCUCACCUGGUAACUAAGUUGUUCACAGCCUGUCUACUAUCCUUCAUGGGAUUUGUAAUGAGGUCAACCCUGGCCUUUGCAGAGACUUGGCAGUGGGCUGUUUGUCAUCUUGGAGAAGGAGGCAGGUUUCCCAGAAAACUGCACAUUUAAUUUCUGUUUACACAUAUAUAAACCAUGUCUUUAGGAGCAGCCUGGGAAAUCCUUGAUUGAAGAUGGAUUUUGCCUUGGAAAACACAGAGGAUGAGGUGAGGGGAUAAUAGUGUGCUGUUGAUGAGAAAACCUACCACUUGGCCUCACCGGAGCACCAUGGCGUUCUAGUUCAGUAUCGGCACCAGCUACUUGGUUCUUCAGUAUGGCUGCGGAUUUGGGUUGUGGACAUCUGUGAUUGACAUAGUGAGUCUGAACUAUCUUCACUGAACAUUGGUACUGAGUGUGGGAGAAGGGGGAGGGGCAGGGGGAGGGGCAGCGCCAACAGGAGGACAAAGAUUGUCCCUCCCCAGGGUAGAGACAGCAACAGGGGACAGUUUGCCUCCAGGGCAUCUGCCUCAGCAGUGGGAAUCUGAUGCUUAGUGAGGCCCUCUCUGUUGGGGGAGAAAAUGGCACUGCAACGUUUUAAAAUUUCCUCUUCUUUGCCCCAUGCUUUGUCUUCUUCCUGGUGGGAAAGUGCCUCUGAUUUGUUUUGGGUCCAGAGGAAGAAAAAAUAGAUUCCCACCCAUCUAGGAUACAAGUGCUGGUGUUGGGCUGAGGAGGAUCAGACCUGAGGGAAGAUGGAGUGAAUGAGUAGAGAGCACAAGGGCAGGUGCUCCUGCCCAGUCCGGGGCUGGGUAAAGGAGGUCCAUGGUUUUCUCUUACCUCGGGAGGGCACUGCACUGCUCUGAAGUUAAACCCAGGAGGGCUGAACAAAAGCAGACUUAG